UACGGAGGAUCCAAGCGUUAUCCGGAAUCAUUGGGUUUAAAGGGUCCGUAGGCGGUUUUGUAAGCCAGUGGUGAAAGCCCAUCGCUCAACGGUGGAACGGCCAUUGAUACUGCAAGACUUGAAUUACUAGGAAGUAACUAGAAUAUGUAGUGUAGCGGUGAAAUGCUUAGAUAUUACAUGGAAUACCAAUUGCGAAGGCAGGUUACUAACAAUACAUUGACGCUGAUGGACGAAAGCGUGGGGAGCGAACAGG
rnacentral:rRNA from 1 species